rnacentral:rRNA from 1 species
UUAAUACCGGAUAGCAUACGAAUAUCGCAUGAUAUUUUUAUUAAAGAAUUUCGGUUAUCGAUGGGGAUGCGUUCCAUUAGUUUGUUGGCGGGGUAACGGCCCACCAAGACUACGAUGGAUAGGGGUUCUGAGAGGAAGGUCCCCCACAUUGGAACUGAGACACGGUCCAAACUCCUACGGGAGGCAGCAGUGAGGAAUAUUGGUCAAUGGGCGAGAGCCUGAACCAGCCAAGUAGCGUGAAGGAUGAAGGCUCUAUGGGUCGUAAACUUCUUUUAUAUGGGAAUAAAGUAUUCCACGUGUGGAAUUUUGUAUGUACCAUAUGAAUAAGGAUCGGCUAACUCCGUGCCAGCAGCCGCGGUAAUACGGAGGAUCCGAGCGUUAUCCGGAUUUAUUGGGUUUAAAGGGAGCGUAGGUGGAUUGUUAAGUCAGUUGUGAAAGUUUGCGGCUCAACCGUAAAAUUGCAGUUGAAACUGGGAGUCUUGAGUACAGUAGAGGUGGGCGGAAUUCGUGGUGUAGCGGUGAAAUGCUUAGAUAUCACGAAGAACUCCGAUUGCGAAGGCAGCUCACUAGACUGUUACUGACACUGAUGCUCGAAAGUGUGGGUAUCAAACAGGAUUAGAUACCCUGGUAGUCCACACAGUAAACGAUAAAGACUCGCUGUUUGCGAUAUACAGUAAGCGGCCA